rnacentral:rRNA from 1 species
AGGAUGAACGCUGGCGGCGUGCCUAAUACAUGCAAGUCGAGCGGUAAGGCCACUUCGGUGGUACACGAGCGGCGGACGGCUGAGUAACACGUAGGAACGUACCCCAAACUGAGGCAUAAGCACCAGAAAUGGUGUCUAAUACCGCAUGUGGCCUUCGGGCUAAAGCUUCGGCGGUUUGGGAACGGCCUGCGCAUGAUUAGCUUGUUGGUGAGGUAAAAGCUCACCAAGGCGACGAUCAUUAGCUGGUCUGAGAGGAUGAUCAGCCAGACUGGGACUGAGAACGGCCCAGACUCCUACGGGAGGCAGCAGUAGGGAAUUUUCCACAAUGGGCGAAAGCCUGAUGGAGCAACGCCGCGUGCAGGAUGAAGGCCCUCGGGUCGUAAACUGCUUUUAUCUGUGACGAUUAUGACGGUAGCAGAUGAAUAAGGAUCGGCUAACUCCGCGCCAGCAGCCGCGGUAA